GGAUUAGAUACCCUGGUAGUCCACGCCGUAAACGAUGUCUACUUGGAGGUUGUGGCCUUGAGCCGUGGCUUUCGGAGCUAACGCGUUAAGUAGACCGCCUGGGGAGUACGGUCGCAAGAUUAAAACUCAAAUGAAUUGACGGGGGCCCGCACAAGCGGUGGAGCAUGUGGUUUAAUUCGAUGCAACGCGAAGAACCUUACCUACUCUUGACAUCCUCAGAAGAGACUGGAGACAGUCUUGUGCCUUCGGGAACUCUGAGACAGGUGCUGCAUGGCUGUCGUCAGCUCGUGCCG
rnacentral:rRNA from 1 species